GAUGAACGCUGGCGGCGUGCCUAAUACAUGCAAGUCGAGCGAACGGACGAGAAGCUUGCUUCUCUGAUGUUAGCGGCGGACGGGUGAGUAACACGUGGAUAACCUACCUAUAAGACUGGGAUAACUUCGGGAAACCGGAGCUAAUACCGGAUAAUAUUUUGAACCGCAUGGUUCAAAAGUGAAAGACGGUCUUGCUGUCACUUAUAGAUGGAUCCGCGCUGCAUUAGCUAGUUGGUAAGGUAACGGCUUACCAAGGCAACGAUGCAUAGCCGACCUGAGAGGGUGAUCGGCCACACUGGAACUGAGACACGGUCCAGACUCCUACGGGAGGCAGCAGUAGGGAAUCUUCCGCAAUGGGCGAAAGCCUGACGGAGCAACGCCGCGUGAGUGAUGAAGGUCUUCGGAUCGUAAAACUCUGUUAUUAGGGAAGAACAUAUGUGUAAGUAACUGUGCACAUCUUGACGGUACCUAAUCAGAAAGCCACGGCUAACUACGUGCCAGCAGCCGCGGUAAUACGUAGGUGGCAAGCGUUAUCCGGAAUUAUUGGGCGUAAAGCGCGCGUAGGCGGUUUUUUAAGUCUGAUGUGAAAGCCCGCGGCUCAACCGUGGAGGGUCAUUGGAAACUGGAAAACUUGAGUGCAGAAGAGGAAAGUGGAAUUCCAUGUGUAGCGGUGAAAUGCGCAGAGAUAUGGAGGAACACCAGUGGCGAAGGCGACUUUCUGGUCUGUAACUGACGCUGAUGUGCGAAAGCGUGGGGAUCAAACAGGAUUAGAUACCCUGGUAGUCCACGCCGUAAACGAUGAGUGCUAAGUGUUAGGGGGUUUCCGCCCCUUAGUGCUGCAGCUAACGCAUUAAGCACUCCGCCUGGGGAGUACGACCGCAAGGUUGAAACUCAAAGGAAUUGACGGGGACCCACACAAGCGGUGGAGCAUGUGGUUUAAUUCGAAGCAACGCGAAGAACCUUACCAAAUCUUGACAUCCCUUGACAACUCUAGAGAUAGAGCUUUCCCCUUCGGGGGACAAAGUGACAGGUGGUGCAUGGUUGUCGUCAGCUCGUGUCGUGAGAUGUUGGGUUAAGUCCCGCAACGAGCGCAACCCUUAAGCUUAGUUGCCAUCAUUAAGUUGGGCACUCUAAGUUGACUGCCGGUGACAAACCGGAGGAAGGUGGGGAUGACGUCAAAUCAUCAUGCCCCUUAUGAUUUGGGCUACACACGUGCUACAAUGGACAAUACAAAGGGCAGCGAAACCGUGAGGUCAAGCAAAUCCCAUAAAGUUGUUCUCAGUUCGGAUUGUAGUCUGCAACUCGACUACAUGAAGCUGGAAUCGCUAGUAAUCGUAGAUCAGCAUGCUACGGUGAAUACGUUCCCGGGUCU
rnacentral:rRNA from 1 species